CUCCCCAUCCCAUCAUUUUUUAUAAGGAAUGUGCGUCCUUUUUUUCCUUUGAAGGUAUGUACGCCAUUUUGUUUGGAACAUAUGUACGACGCUUCUUAGUUGUAAAUCAGGCACAGCAGUUAUGAUGAGGCCCAUGUUAGUCCUUUUUUUUGGAAAUCAGGCCCAUGUUAGUCAUUUAGAAAAUGACCAACUUGUAUAAACAACCCGGACUGGUCAACAUCCACGCGUAGGACUCCUCUCUUGUAGCUCAGUCGAUCCCCAACAACAUCCUUAUCCAUUCGCAUGCACCACCUUUUCCGAUUAGCCGGCUAAUGAGGAUCUCGUUGCUUUCCAUCAUGGAACUAAUUCCCAAGCCAUCUCCACUUCUCCAUUCAUUUCUUUGAAUUUGUCUUCAGGUAUUGGCGCAGUCGGUCAUUGCGUGUAGUGCGGGGACGCGUUCGUCGUGUUCUCAAGGAUGUGGAUCCUCGAAGACCUCGUCGAGUCUGGCAGAGCGGCCAUGGGGAUUAGCAGGUAAAACACGGCGGCUGCACUGCUCAAGCUCUUCAUGGCCGAUGGCUAGAGGUUUAUGGCAGAGGUGCUUCAGUUUGGCCCCGUGGAGGAGGCUGUGUGGGAACUGACAGAGUCACCCCCUAAUGGUGAAUUGUUGGAUCUGACAACUGAGAAUGGUGUUGCUGGGCAAAGCUAGCGGUCUGUACAACAGCAUAGAGGACCUUCAUUUGCUUAUAUCCGGAUCUACUAUCAAGUUACUGAAGCAAGACACCUUUUUUCUUUUGUUCUGGCAAAUUUGUCUCAGUGCAUUCAUCUUCUGAGUCAUCUGAUAUUGCAACAGAUCUUAGUCUCCUUUUAUUGCCACUACGGAGCUCACGUGAUGAUGAUGAUGAUAUUUUUUCUUGAAGCUUGUCUCUGUCUAAUGUAGAACCAUUGCUGUCACGCGGCUCCUCUCUCACAGGAACCAGUUCGCAGGAAGGUGAAAAUUUAUUAUUCUAUGACUGCAUACAUAUAUAUUUUAAAAAUUAUACACAUCUCUAAAAUUUGAAGUGUGUGUAGUCAAAAAAUCAAUCACCUUUUUAUCUGGCAUGUUUUGCUUCUUCAUUACCAUGGUGUCCACAUCAUCAUCCAUCAAUUCCGGUGCAACAAAUGUAAGAUCAAUUAGUCAUGGAAUUCUAAAGAUGGUACUUUAUUUUUGAAACAAAGGUAACGAACCUUUCCUCCUUGGCUUUAUCGUUCAAGUAGAGCAUUUCAAGCCUAUCAUCAGGCACAAAUGUUCUUUUUACUGCAUAGUUUUGUGUGCCAAAUGUGAGAUUACUAUCAUUGAGUUUGAAUUGAAAUAUAAGUUUUUUUUUCACAUAUUUGUUGAAUAAUCUUUGGCGCUUCUUCCGAUUUUCCAUCCAGCAAGUCCAGCAAGUUAGAUGUAGAUGUAUUAAGAAAUCUUGUAGCCUCCUCGUCAAAUAAUGUGCGACUUGUAGUAGACGUAUGGUCACUAAUUUGGAGCCGAAUAUGAUACCUAACAUACCAUUCAUGUUAGUCGAGAGUAAAUAUAAUAUAACUGUUCGUGUUCAUAUUUUAGUAAUAUAAUAUGCUUACCGAGGUGUGACCUUUUCUGGAUAUAUAUAUAUACCACCACUCUUGCAAUAGUACUUGUUGGUUUCCUUGGUAACCAAUUUGUGACAUUUAUCACAUGACAUGUACCACCAUAGAAU